CAGGGAAUGAACCUGAAUCUCUUACAUCUCCUGCAUUGAGGAAAAGCUCCUGUGAUACAAGAAACUCAUCUAUAUGUCAAAAAGUGGAGCUCACAGACCAAUUGGAUUCACCAUUCUGAUCCCCUACAAGGAAAUGUGCGGAGCAGCAGACAGAACGAAAGAGCAGCUUAUGGAACCUAAAGAAACUCGUGGCAAUCAGCGGCCCUGGUGCUUUCCACCUGGAAAUCCUCCCUUUUCAUCCUCGGGUAAGAGAAUGAGGAUGACGAUCGCCUUCCUCUUCGUGGAGAGCGGCGGUCUUUGCACACUCCGAGCUGGGAGGAGGCUGCUGGGCUUCCGGGGAGGGGGCGGUAGCAGGGGUC